GCUCGUCUCAAAGAUUAAGCCAUGCAAGUCUAAGUACACACGGCCGGUACAGUGAAACUGCGAAUGGCUCAUUAAAUCAGUUAUGGUUCCUUUGAUCGCUCCAACGUUACUUGGAUAACUGUGGCAAUUCUAGAGCUAAUACAUGCCAACGAGCGCUGACCCUUGCGGGGAUGCGUGCAUUUAUCAGACCCAAAACCCAUGCGGGGUCUCUCCCCUCGGGGCGGGGGCCCCGGCCGCUUUGGUGACUCUAGAUAACCUCGAGCCGAUCGCUGGCCCUCGUGGCGGCGACGUCUCAUUCGAAUGUCUGCCCUAUCAACUUUCGAUGGUACUUUCUGUGCCUACCAUGGUGACCACGGGUAACGGGGAAUCAGGGUUCGAUUCCGGAGAGGGAGCCUGAGAAAUCGGCUACCACAUCUAAGGAAGGCAGCAGGC
rnacentral:rRNA from 1 species